UACAGAGGGGGCAAGCGUUGUUCGGAAUUACUGGGCGUAAAGCGCACGUAGGCGGCUUUUUAAGUCGGUGGUGAAAUCCUGGAGCUCAACUCCAGAACUGCCUUCGAUACUGAGAGUCUUGAGUCCGGGAGAGGUGAGUGGAACUGCGAGUGUAGAGGUGAAAUUCGUAGAUAUUCGCAAGAACACCAGUGGCGAAGGCGGCUCACUGGCCCGGUACUGACGCUGAGGUGCGAAAGCGUGGGGAGCAAACAGG
rnacentral:rRNA from 1 species